AUUGAACGCUGGCGGCAUGCUUUACACAUGCAAGUCGAACGGCAGCACGGGAGCGAUCCUGGUGGCGAGUGGCGAACGGGUGAGUAAUGUAUCGGAACAUGCCCAGUCGUGGGGGAUAACGCAGCGAAAGUUGUGCUAAUACCGCAUACGAUCUAUGGAUGAAAGCGGGGAUCGCAAGACCUCGCGCGAUUGGAGUGGCCGAUAUCAGAUUAGGUAGUUGGUGGGGUAAAGGCCCACCAAGCCGACGAUCUGUAGCUGGUCUGAGAGGACGGCCAGCCACACGGGGACUGAGACACGGCCCAGACUCCUACGGGAGGCAGCAGUGGGGAAUUUUGGACAAUGGGCGCAAGCCUGAUCCAGCAAUGCCGCGUGCAGGAUGAAGGCCUUCGGGUUGUAAACUGCUUUUGUAUGGAACGAAAAGACUCUCUCUAAUAAAGGGGGUUGAUGACGGUACCAUGAGAAUAAGCACCGGCUAACUACGUGCCAGCAGCCGCAGUAA
rnacentral:rRNA from 1 species